rnacentral:tRNA from 2 species
UUAGCUCAGUGGUUAGAGCAGGCGACUCAUAAUCGCUUGGUCGCUGGUUCAAGUCCA